AAUAAGCAGGAUAUUAAAUAUUAUGGAGAGAGAAAGAGACUAGCUACAAUCAUUGGAGCUGGCUAAGCAGUUUCUGUAAGACACUGUCCUUGCAUCUGAUGCUGGAGCCUGAAGCCCACAGGCAGACAGGAAGGAUAAAUGGAAGUGAAUUGGGGACAGGAGGGCAAAAACAAGAUAGAAUUCACAAGCACAAGCCCAUGGAGACAGACAAAUCUGUGUGGGCUCUUGUUCCUCUGAUGUUGGUGGUAUGGGUCCUACAGAGACAUUGGCCAAGAGUUGGGGAAGCUGAAGUGAGCCAGCAAAAAAGCAACAAUUUGAGCUACAAAAUGGCUGCUGCUUUAUUUCCCUCCUCCCACAAGGAUCUUCUGGGUUUCCUCCUGCUCCACUCUAACCAGCACCAUUCAGGAGGGGCAUGCUGGGAAGUGAAGUUCAGCUUAACUGGGUUGAGCACUCUGUGAGCCAGACGUGGCUCUACUCAGAAUGUCUGCAAUGGAGUGGGCAGUUCAAAGGUAGGCAGGCAAUUGCUACAGAGGGAGAUAAACACUAUGAGAGGAUAAGUACAGAGGCAUAAGAAACCUGUUUUUAUUCUCCACCCCUUAAUUCAGUUUGGGUUCUUUCUUAGUGUUUAAAAAAAAAAAAAAAAAGUCAGAACACUAAUGUUCCUAGCAGCAUUAUUCACAAUAACCAAAAGGUGGCUACAACCCAACUAUCCAUCAACAAACACAUGAAUGGAUAAAUAAAAUGUGGUAUAGCUAUACAAUGGAAUAUUAAUUCAUACUAAAAAGAAAUGAUACAUUAAUACACAUUCUACAUACAACACAGACAAAGCCUGAAGAUAUUAAUAUUAUGCUAAGUGAAAUAAGCCAGUCAGAGAAAGACAAAUACAUAUGAUCUCACUAGUAUGUGGAAUCUAAUGAACAAAAUAAACCUAUAAAAUGGAACCAGAAGCAUGAAUACAUGGAAGAGACUGGCCGGUGCCCAAAGGAAAGGGUCAGGUAACUGGAUAAAGACCAUGAAGGAAAUAGCUAAAGAACAUAUGCAUACCUCACGGACAUGGACAAUAAUUUGGUAAAAUCCAAGGAAGGGAUUGUCAGGAAAGAGGGUUAAAGGGGGGCAGGGGGCAAGAAAUUCCUGCAACAAUAAUUUUUAAAAUUUUAACAAAAAGAUGGGAAAUCAUUAAGACACCAAUUGUAUUUCAGAUUUUUGACUAUAUUAUGCAAUAGAUUUAAUUUUUCAUGAACUGUCUUAGCUUUUCAACUUGUGUUGGUGGGGGGUGGGGAAGCAGCCCUAUUAUUAUCUUUUGUCAGGACAUGGAUCCCUGGCCCCAGUGCUUGUGGUUAAGGGAGCAAUAUCAACACUGAGGACCCCUUAGGUCUUUCCAAGCACAGGAAAUUAAGCAGAAAGAACUUCCUGGGACAUCUCACCUCGCUAGAGCUGACUGUCUCCAAGACCACCUGGGACCCACCCCAUAGUCUUUACACCCUAAAGAAGUCUGCAGUGGAAUUUGGAGUAGAUAUGCCUGUUGAGGGGUAUUCUCCUAAAAUAAGUAUGACCACAUUCCAAAAGAAGUAGGAUUAUGCAUGUGGCCCUUUGAGAAAGGGACGUUACAGAGGGUCUGUGAACAAUGGAAAAAUCAGUGGAGAGUCCAUGGGUCCCAAGCCAACAAUCAUCAGAAUCUAAGGACUUAUUCCACUAAACUAAGUUUUCUCCCCUCCUCCCCCAGUUCACCUCCACCCACCCUCAGUUAUAAUGCUGGCUUAGAGAGGCCUGAGCAGCUAAUGGAAUAGUUUUCACUGAAGAUUUGGCCUGCAAACCCCUGGAGAACUAAUUUGAUUUCUUUCUUUUUUAAUUGGAUUUCCCCAAAUCAUCUGCUUCCCCUUUGGCUAUGCAAACAGGAUCAGAUCUUAUCCCAGUGUAGAAUCUUUCCUAUUCUGAAAGGCUCCAAGGAGCCAGAGCUGACCUUCUGGCCAAGCAGGGCAAUAAGGGGCCAUAGGACUGUUCUAACAUACCUUGCAAGGGCAGUACUGGUUCGAAACCCUCAGAGAUUCCUAGAUAAAAUCCAGCUCAAGUGUCAACUAGCAGUCCUUUUGAUAACCUCUUCCAUCACCCUACCCCUCAUGACCAGCUCUUACAAUGUCACAUGCACCCCCCCCUCUUCAACAAUAAGGUCUGACUUCAUCUGCAUGGAGGUGGCUCAUUUGGCAGCUACCUGGCUGCAUAAGAGGCAGAUGCUACAGCAACAAUAUAGGCACAUGCAAGAGAAAACACAGAUUAGAUGAUUCCCAAAAUAAGUAACAAUUUUCUCUACCAAGAGUCAUGAUCCCAACCUUUGAUUUACUAAGUCCCCUAGGCUAGAGAGUUGAAUCACUAAACGCAUUCAUUAGAGUUCUCAUGUGAUUUAAUAAAGAUGAUACAUUAGCAAAUUUAUCAGAUGUGAACAUACAACAUUCUGUUUGAGUAAUGUCAUAGGUGCCUUCUUGUGAUGCAGUAAUAAUGUCCAAAGCCAUCCUAUUUUGGAGGACAGUUUAUCUCAUUAGAGACACUUCAGUUUUCAGUACAGACUGGCUUCUCUGACUUGCUGGGGAAGGGUGAGGAAGGAGAGGAACAGGGAGGGUAGAGAGCAAAGGAGGAAGUGAAGGAGGAGGAGGAGCACACAAAUUCACUGAAACAGUGGUGAGUGGCA